rnacentral:rRNA from 1 species
UACGGGGGGGGCAAGCGUUGUUCGGAAUUACUGGGCGUAAAGGGCUCGUAGGUGGCCAACUAAGUCAGACGUGAAAUCCCUCGGCUUAACCGGGGAACUGCAUCUGAUACUGGAUGGCUUGAGUUUGGGAGAGGGAUGCGGAAUUCCAGGUGUAGCGGUGAAAUGCGUAGAUAUCGUUUGGAACGCCAAUGGUGAAAACAGGUAGCUGGGAGUGUGCCGACGCUGAGACACGAAAGCCAGGGGAGCGAACGGG